rnacentral:lncRNA from 1 species
CUGUGGCUGAAACAUAUUUGCAGAACACAGAUCUAGGCUCAUUCCCUAAUUUUACAUAUGAGGAAGCUGAGGCUUGGGGAAGUGAAAUGACAUCACUAAGUUAAAGCAGAGCUGGAGACAGUACUCAACGGUCUGUAUCAGUCGGGGGACUUGGUUGCUGGUUAGAUGCCAAUUCUGGAUAAUCAAAGCAAAGACUCACAGGGGCUUGCAAAAUUGACAGGAGCCUGAUAGGCUUGGAAAUGGCCAGAACCACGAGCACACUGGAAGGCCAAGAAGCUGGACAGAGUUCACAGAAAGUCCAUAAAUAGUCUCAUAACCAGAGGAGCCUGUAGAAAUGUUGAUGCCUCUCCUGCCUCUUCUGCAAUGCAUGGCACCAACCUUCUCCUCUGAUAUGGUUCGACUGUGUCCCCACCCAAAUUUCAUCUAGAAUCUCCACAGGGACCCCGUGGGAGGUACUUGAAUCAUGGGGGUGGUUACCUCCAUGUUGUUCUUGUGAUAGUGAGUGAGUUCUCACGGGAUUUGAUGGUUUUAUAAGGGGCUUCCCCCGUCUUUGCUCUGAGCUUCUUGCUGCCGCCAUGUGAAGAACGACAUGUUUGCUUCCCCUUCUGCCAUGAUUGUAAAUUUCCUGAGGCCCCCCAGCCCUGCAGAACUGAGUCAAUUAAACCUGUUUCCCUUACAAAUUGCUCAGUCUCAGGUAUUUCCUCAUAGCAGCAUGAGAACGGAGUAAUACACCCUCUUAUUCUCAUGUCACUUGAUUUAAAGUCCCAGGAGAGAGUCCAUGAUUGGCUGGGUUGAAGUCACAUGCUCACACUCGGGCUGGAUGGGAGCCAGGAGAAACAGGUCUGGCCCCUUGAGCAUCCCUAGUGGGAGCACUGCCCACAAUUAGCCAUCCACAUUGGGGAAGGGUAAUGCCCCAAAGGGAAUUUUGGCUAUUGAGAAGGGGAAAUGGAUGUGGGCAGCCCAAAGGGCAACUAAAGGGAGCCUGAUGGCGCAUAGCAGAUCCCGAUAACAUGGACACUUUGUCUCAAGCAGAAAGAGCUACAGCAGGGAGAAAAGGAUCUUUGCUGAUGUUGAACAUCAACAGGGAAUCCAGGCCUGAGCGGAUUCACGCAUGACGUCUCCCUGGACACAGGGAUGGGUUCACAAAGGGGUUGGAGUCACUGAGAUGUGAGGAGAAGUCUGCUGGCAGCUUCUGGGACAUUACACCCUGGUGCUGAAGAGAUCGCUGCCGGAAGAGGCUGUCUUCCUGGGCAUGUUGUCAGCAAACGGAAACCUAACAGAGACACUGUAAAGGCUACUAUUCCAAUUUUUCUGGAAUUAGUGCUGGGAGAACCCUGACAGAGCCCUUCUCCUCUUCUGUCUUCGAUAGCCGGGGGCGGGCCGACCCAGCACGCAGGAGGCUUGCACCGCAAAGCCUUCUCGCUGAACCAGGCAGCAGAUCCAUCCCACGGGGCUUCCUCCCACGUGAGAAACGUAGGAAAAGACGCUGCAAAUCAAAGACGACCACCCUGGAGAAGCAGGAGAAACUCCCCAACUUGAGUGAAUGUAUCAACAUUUCAGAAAAUGUAGGAGGUGGAUGUUACUGUUUAAUCUGCUCAGCAUCCUUCCCCCACCCCUUUUGAUAACUGGCCUCAUCCACUGGACACACUUCUUGGAAUGAGACCCGGGCUAGGCCAAUCAGCCUCUCCCUGAAGUGUUUCCCUGAAGCUGGAAGAGAGGAACUCUGUUCCCUCUUGGAUUACAGAGCUGAAAGGAGAUGAAUUUGAUGCUACUAGUGUUCAUGUUUCUAACCAAGGGAGAUGGGGCCUAGCAAGCCUUAAUGGUCUUCAUAUAUUUUCCAUCAGACCUUUUAAGCUUCCCCCAUGGUGACCAGCCCCAGAGUAAUGCACAUUUAAUUCAACUUUCAAUGCAGGAAAAUCAAUUGCAUUGCACCACAGACUGUUUAUUACACGUAAUCUGAAGUUCAACACAUAAAGAAAUAAGCAAUAUACACAAACCAUGGCACUUAAGAGUUCAAUUUGGGGACCUAUUUCCCCCCAGAAAUCAAAAUACUUAUAUUGUCCUAAAAUAUUUCACAUUAUAAAAUAAAGUUUUUCUGUUUUUUUUUGUUUUUUAAUCCAGGCUGGAAUUGCUUGAAACUUUUUUUUUCCUUUGACUUUUAUUUUAAGUUCAGGGGUACAUGUGCAGGAUGUGCAAGUUUGUUACAUAGGUAAAUGUGUGCCAUGGGAAACUUUUAAAAUAAUAAUUAUGAUGGCUUUUAUUUUAACAAUGCUUUAUAGUUCACAAAUUGUUUUCAGAUAUCUUACCCUAUUUUGAUCUUCCUCCUCAAAUGCUUGUGAAUUAGAUAGGACAAGUAAACCCAUUUAGCAGAUGAAGAAACUGAGCGAUGAGAAGAGCCCAACUACAAGAAUGAGGAGCGCCUAACACCCACCCAGUCUAGGAUGUUAUUAAUCCCAAAAGAACUUCAUUCUAUUUGGAGCUCGUGGGGGUGGAGAGAUGGAAGCAGGAAGAACCUAAAUUGUGUCUACCACUGGAAUUCAGAUUUGUCUUGACUUGAUAAGGUAGGCUCACCAGAAGGCUUUAUGUUUUCUGCUAGUUUGUUUUGUAGGUUUUUAGAGAUCUCUCAGGUGGAGAGGGUUGAAUUCAUCAUACCCCUCAAUUCAUGGUACGUUAUCAUCACCAAGGAACUGCUCUUGUUUUAUUCAAUUACGUACUUUCCUUUUAUACACCAUCCAUAUUCCUUUUUUUUUUUUUUUUUUGACAAGGUUUCACUCUGUUGCCCAGACUGGAGUGCAGUGGCACAAUCAUAGCUCAUUAUAGCCUUGACUUCCUGGGCUCGAUAGAUCUGCCUGCCUCAGCCUCCUGAGUAGCUGGGACUACAGGUAUGUGCCACCACACCCAGCUAAUUUUUUUGUAUUUUUUGUAGAGAUGGGCUUUCACCAUGUUGCCCAGGCUAGUCUUGAAUUCCUGGGCUCAAACGAUCUGCCCAUCUAGGCUUCCUAAAGUGUUGGGAUUACAGGUGUGAGCCACGGAACCCAGCCCAUGCUCCGUUUAUAUAGAGUUCAAAAUAGGCAAGGCUAUUCUCUAGUUUCCAGGGUGGGGGUGCAGAUAAUACUUUAGUUUUUUUUUUUUAAUCUGGAUCAUGUUUAUAUAGAGUUAUUCAUUUUGCAAAAAUCUAUUGUGCUGUGUACUUAAUAAUUGGUGUAGCUUUCUG